rnacentral:lncRNA from 1 species
UCUAACUGAAAAUAAAUAAAAAAAUACAAAGGACUUGAAUGGCCAUUUCUCUAAAGAGGAUAACAGAUGGCCGAUAAGUACAUGAAAAGAUGUUCAACAUCACUAAUUAGGGAAAUGCAAGCCAAAACCGCAAGUCAAAACUUCGUACACAUUAGGAUGGCCAUUACUUAAAAUGUAACAUAACAACACAAAACAUCAAAUAGACAAAUGUUGGUGGGAAGGUGGAGAAAUUGGAACUCUUGUGUACUGCUGCUGGGAAUAUAAAAUGUAUCAUCGCUAUAGACAUCAGUAUGUAUCGCGGUUCGUCAAAAAAUUAAAAAUAGAAUCACCAUACAAUCCAGCAAUUCUGCUCGAAUAUAUACCCGAAAGAGUUGAAAGCCAGGUAUUUGUACAUUCAUGCUCACAGCACCAUUAUUCACAGCAGGCAAAAGCUGGAAGCAACCCGAGCACCCACUGACAGGUAAAUGGAUACAAAAACUAAGGCAUAGGGGCGCCUGGGUGGCUCAGUCGGUUAAGCGGCCGACUUCGGCUCAGGUCAUGAUCUCGCGCUCCGUGAGUUCGAGCCCCGCGUCGGGCUCUCUGCUGACAGCUCGGAGCCUGGAGCCCGUUUCAGAUUCUGUGUCUCCCUCUCUCUGACCUUCCCCAGUUCAUGCUCUGUCUCUCCCUGUCUCAAAAAUAACUAAACGUUAAAAGACAAAAAAAAAAAAAAACAAAAAAAAAACUAAGGCAUAUAUAUGUAUACAACGGCAUAUUGAAUAUUAUUCAUCCUUAAAAAAGAAUGACAUUUUGACACGCCUACAACAUGUCUGAACCUUGAUGACAUUACGCUAAGGGGGAGAGAAAAACAGACACGAAAGGACAGAUGCUUAUGAUUUCACUUGGACGAGGUACCUAGGACUUUACAUACACUAGUAAUCAAAUGGACAGAGACAGAAAGUAGAAUGGUGGUUGCCAGGGGCUGGUGGGGUAGGGGGAGAUGGAGAAUUAUUAUUUAAUGGGUAUGGAGUUUCAGUGUGGGGAUAUGAGAAAAGUUCUGGAGACGGAUGGCGGUGAUGGUUGCACAGGAAUGUACUUACUGCCCCUGAACUGUAAACUUUAAGAUGGCCAAAAAUAUAUAUAUAUUUUAUAUCCAAGUAUAUGCUGGUUGCAGGAGACUCACUUUAUUUAUUUAUUUUAAUGUUUAUUUAUUUUUGAGAGAGACAGAGACAGAGGCAGAGCUCGAGAGGCAAAGGGCCAGAGAGAGAGAGGGAGACACAGAAUCGGAAGCGGGCCCCAGGCUCCGAGCCGUCGGCCCAGAGCCCGACGCGGGACUCGAACUCACGGACCGCGAGAUCGUGACCUGAGCCGAAGUCGGCCGCUCAACCGACUGAGCCACCCAGGCGCCCCCAGGAGACUCACUUUAGACCCAAAGGCACAAAUACGUUGUAAGCAAAGGGAUGGAAAAACAUAUUCUGUGCAAAGAGCCACCCAAAAGACAGCCAGGGUGGCUAUGCUAAUUCUAGACCAAAUAGAUUUGAAAUAAAAAACUGUUACAAGCGACAAAGGAGGACACUAUAUAUUGAUUUAAGUGUCAAUUCGUGAAGAAGCUGUAACAAUUCUAUAUGUCCCAAACAACAGAAUCUCAAAAUAUAUGAAGCAAACAAUGACAGAAGUGAAGGGAGAAAUAGACACGUCUACAAUAAUAGUUGGAGACUUCAGUGCCCUACUUUCUUUUUUAUUAUUUUUUAAAGUUUAUUUGCUUUGAGAGAGAGAGAAAGCGCAAGUCGGG